UCAUUUAUUUCAUAACACCCUAUUAGCAUCUGGUGGUGUGUUUCUUUUAACAUUUGUCCACAUUUUUUAUCUUAAAGAGCGAACGGUAGGCUAAUAAUUAAGCAAAACAAUGUAAUCGAGGUGUCGAAUUAGGAAUAGAAUUAAGAGAGCACGUCUGACACUCGACCGGUGUAAAGUGUGCCCUCCAAAGCCAUCGGUAUUUUUUUACUAUGUUGAUAUCAGAUUACAUCAAUGCAGUAGUUAUUCCAUAAUAAAGUUAACAAAAUAUAAUGAUUAAGGCUAUAUUACAUACAAGAGUAGCAACAACUAAGUUAUUACAAGAAAGCAGGAUGCAAAUAAUAGCAUUACAAAUUGUUAAUGGAUUUCUUUAACCUUUAUUUAGUAGAAAAAAAUUCCAUGGCAGAAAACAGGCAAUUUUAAAAUUUAUAUCCAAUGCCAUCAGAGAAGUGUGGUGUGCGUCUGAUGUGGCACAGUGACAGGCUGGGCACCUGCUGUUGUCACGUGUUAUUAUAAGCUUAUACAAGUUUACACACAUACAUUUAACUGAAUAUAAUGGAGAAGGCUUGCUCCUUAGAAAUAACUUAUUUCUUAUUGCUGCAGUUAGAAGUACAAUGCCCCUUUAUUGUAUUUUUUCUCUUGAUCCUACAAGAUGCCCGGGGGUAACCAGCCUUCCAUGUGGCUAAACAAAUACCAGUGUACCCAAAUUCUGAGACACAAUUGGAUGUUCUUUUCUUCUGCUUUUAAGAUUCCCAAUUCGAGAUGAUGUGCAGUUCAUAUUAGGUUUGCUGUUUCUACAGUUACAGUGAAAUAGAAGAGUUCGGUCAUGUUAUGGGGCAGCAGUUAAAGAAGAAGGACGGAGAGAUGUGUGCCAUGUUGAAGUAGCGGCUGGCCCUCCUCCCUGGCACUUCUAGAAUCCUCCAUCUCAAUCUCUGAUCUGAUCUGCUGUGCCUUUGCCAAGUGAUCACGAGUUUAUUGCAGUGGUGCCCCCCUGCGUCUCCACCGUCUGUUACAUCAACUCCAACUACCUGUGACAGAAGAAAAGUUCACAAGACGUCCUGAAAUGGAAUUGUGAUUGGAGUGAGACGACCACAAUCAUGUAUGCUGGGAUGUGCAGAUGGGGCUGUUUGGGCUUUGGCUUGGGACCUCCAGAGGUUUAUUAUCUCCAGUGUCCUUGAAGGCUGCAAGUGUGUCUUUGUCCCCAGCCAUUUGACCAGGCAGUGUAUUUAUUACAAAGGACAAGGACCUCUCCAAUUGCUUCUUAUUUACUUUUAUAAUACCUUCAGUUUUCUUUGUAACUGUAUAUUUUUGUGGAGCAAUUUGAGCAACACUUGUAAGCAAAGGUGAUAUAAAAAUAUUUAUCAGUGAACAAAUAUUAAAGGACAGAUCAGGAAAAAUGUCAGUUUAAAUAGAACUUGCCCUCUGUCCACAUGGUUUUCAUCAUAAACUGAACUAUUUCAUGCUGUUUAAAUUCUGCUCAGUUAGUGGAGAAUAUUUUAUUUUACAGCUGUUAAAUUCAGUUCAGUUUUAUUAUAUUAAUAGGUAAGUUGGUUUCUCAGUGGGUUUUACAGAGACGCCUUGAAAUAACAUCAAAAACACAUCACUAAGAACAAACGUAUUACAAGUAUGAACUAUAGCAGCAAGCACUUACUGUAAAAAAAAAAAAUAGAUCAAAUGGAUUGAUUCAAGUGAUAACAGCGCACUUCCUUAAUUUAAGUCUGUGGAUAUAAAGUUAAACUUCUCUGUAAGACUAAUAGCCAUUGGAAUAAAUGAGGAUUUGAACCAGUGGCUUUAUUCUCUUCAUUUCUUCAGCAUCUGACCUGAUUGCACAACUGAGAACGAAUUAAAGAAUUUGAACAAGUGGACAGUCACAGUUAACACUAAGGGGGACAGUCA